AGAGUUAUAUUUUCCAGCCUCUCCAGCCAGAAGUCUCCACUACGUCGUGGGAAACAUAUAUCAAAUGGAGUUGAAAGGCAAAAGGAAGUGAUCAGCGCCACAAGAUGUUGAAACUAAUGGAGACCGCAGAGAUCAUGUGCUAAGGGGCCUUCCUCCUCUGGGGUGGGAGAAGGAAUGUUCUCUGGAGAAAUCUGUAUGAUAGAAUAGUGAAGGUAACUGGCCUGAACUACAGCUCUUGAGCCAUCUGGUUUCACCUUCAGGGAGGUCCCACUGAAGCUGAAUGACUGUGCAGGUUGAUACACUGGACAUUUUCGGUGAAACCUGUGUGAACAGACAACUGGAGGGUCAGAUGAUUUAUCCUCUCCCCAGUACCUUGGCACAAGCCUAGGCUACAGAAUGAGAUGCACGUAAGAAGUCUGUGACCUGGACCAGAGCAGCCCAGCUGAACACAUGCUGGAUUGGAAGAACCACCUUUGACCUGAAGACCUUGAGAAAGGAGUUUGGAGACAGAAAGACGGAAGAGUUGAUAUUCCGCUCACAGAUGUCAAUUUUCAAAGAAAUUUCUGCCCAUUAUGGAUGCACCACAAAUACUAAAGUCUAUGCAAUAUAUAUUUUGAAAAGAAUUUUUUUCGUGAAACUGUAAUUUUCGUUCAUAAGAGUAUAUUUCCUGACUUAGCAUUUUAUUGACUAGAUUAAAAUUUUGUUCCCCAAA